rnacentral:tRNA from 1 species
GACCGCGUAGCUCAGUUGGAAGAGCAUUGGGCUAGUUUUCCAAAGGUCGUAGGUUCGAAUCCCACCGUGGCCA